rnacentral:pre_miRNA from 1 species
UAUUAGGUUGGUGCAAAAGUAAUUGUGGUUUUUACCAUUGAAAGUAAUGGCAAAAACUGCAAUUACUUUUGCGCCAAUCUAAUA